rnacentral:rRNA from 1 species
UCAGUAGCGGCGAGCGAAGCGGCAAGAGCUCAAAUUUGAAAUCUGGCCCCCGGGCCCGAGUUGUAAUUUGCAGAGGAUGCUCCCGGCGACGCGCCUGCCGAAGUCCCCUGGAACGGGGCGCCGCAGAGGGUGAGAGCCCCGUGCGGCGGGACGCCGAGCCGUAGCGGAGCUCCCUCGAAGAGUCGAGCAGUUUGGGAAUGCUGCUCUAAGCGGGAGGUACAUUCCUUCUAAAGCUAAAUACCGGCCAGAGACCGAUAGCGCACAAGUAGAGUGAUCGAAAGAUGAAAAGUACCUUGGAAAGAGGGUCAAACAGUACGUGAAAUUGCUGAAGGGGAAGCGUCUGCGGCCAGACGCGGGCUCGGUGGAUCAUCCGGUUCUCGCGGACCGGUGCACUCCGCCGCUGCCCGGGCCAGCGUCGGCUCGCCGCCGGGCCAGAAGGACGGGGGAAACGUGGCUCCCCCCGGGGAGACCUUAUAGACCCCCGUUUGAUAGCCCGGCGCGGGCCGAGGAACGCGCUACGUGCAAGGAUGCUGGCGUAAUGGCCGCCGGCGACCCGUCUUGAAACACGGACCAAGGAGUCGAACACCCACGCGAGUGCUCGGGCGCAAAACCCGAGCGCGCAAUGAAAGUGAACGGAGGCGGGAGCCCUCGGGCGCACCGUCGACCGAUCCAGAGGUUUAACCGAAGGAUUUGAGUAGGAGCGUGGCUGGUCGGACCCGAAAGAUGGUGAACUAUGCCUGCGUAGGGCGAAGCCAGAGGAAACUCUGGUGGAGGCUCGCAGCGGUUCUGACGUGCAAAUCGAUCGUCGAACGUGGGCAUGGGGGCGAAAGACUAAUCGAACCAUCUAGUAGCUGGUUCCCGCCGAAGUUUCCCUCAGGAUAGCAGCGCCGAUCUCAGUUUUAUGAGGUAAAGCGAAUGAUUAGGGACUCGGGGGCGCUGACAUGCCUUCAUCCAUUCUCAAACUUUGAAUAUGUAAGAAGCUCCCGUCACUUAAUUGGACGGGGGCGUUCGAAUGCAACGGCGCUAGUGGGCCAUUUUUGGUAAGCAGAACUGGCGAUGCGGGAUGAACCGAACGCGGGGUUAAGGUGCCGGAGUGGACGCUCAUCAGACACCACAAAAGGCGUUAGUACAUCUUGACAGCAGGACGGUGGCCAUGGAAGUCGGAAUCCGCUAAGGACUGUGUAACAACUCACCUGCCGAAUGUACUAGCCCUGAAAAUGGAUGGCGCUCAAGCGUCCCACCCAUACCCCGCCCCCCGGGCAGGACCGAGGCCCGGGGGAGUAGGCGGGCGCGGGGGUCAGUGACGAAG